GAUGAACGCUGGCGGUGUGCCUAAUACAUGCAAGUCGAGCGAACAGACGAGGAGCUUACUCCUCUGACGUUAGCGGCGGACGGGUGAGUAACACGUGGAUAACCUACCUAUAAGACUGGGAUAACUUCGGGAAACCGGAGCUAAUACCGGAUAACAUGUUGAACCGCAUGGUUCAACAGUGAAAGACGGUCUUGCUGUCACUUAUAGAUGGAUCCGCGUCGCAUUAGCUAGUUGGUAAGGUAACGGCUUACCAAGGCAACGAUGCGUAGCCGACCUGAGAGGGUGAUCGGCCACACUGGAACUGAGACACGGUCCAGACUCCUACGGGAGGCAGCAGUAGGGAAUCUUCCGCAAUGGGCGAAAGCCUGACGGAGCAACGCCGCGUGAGUGAAGACGGUCUUCGGAUCGUAAAACUCUGUUAUUAGGGAAGAACAAAUGUGUAAGUAACUAUGCACGUCUUGACGGUACCUAAUCAGAAAGCCACGGCUAACUACGUG
rnacentral:rRNA from 1 species